GUCUGAGAGAACCAGGACCGUGAGAACCAGAUACGUGAGGGAGAAUCAGGAACAUAUGGAAGAAAGCCCUUGGACUUGUCCAAGCAGGCGACUCCUACUCACUUUUGGUGAUUCAUAUGGACACAAACAAUCCUACCAGAAGCAAUGCAGAAAGGAUUGCCAAAAAGUACAACUACGGAGACAACUACUACUCAGGCAAGAAAUGGGAGACCAUGUAGCGUGAGUUGCUUUUUGCCUCGAAGCUGCCCAUUGAAAGCAAAGGCAAGAGAAAUGAAAAUGAAUUCAGUUGGAAAGUGAAUAUCUGCCUAAGAACAUGGUGUCUAAUAAUGGGAUCCUAAUUUCUUGACUUAAAAUAUAGGAAUAACAGGUUUCUGGCCAGGGAUGGAGUAGAUUUAACCAAGAUUGAUAAGAAUGUAUUUGGUUAGGUGACUUGAAAAUCUAAUCAAAGUGGCUUUAAAAUAAGAAGGAUGAGUGAGAGGAAAAAGCAGCCCCCCAGAUUUAUCAAGCUAGAUACUACAAAUAGGCACUUCAACAAAGGAACAAAAAUAGCCAUUGAGAUACCCAGGAGUUGGAGAUAAAAUAAAAGAAACCAGUUGUAAGAUUUAUGACAUCGAAUGACUAGAAAGAAACCAGAAAUAAGAUUCAUGAUAUCAAAUGUCUAUGCACAAAAGCUUAGGCAAAAACCAAGAUGAAAUAGAGAGAGAGAGAGAGAGAGAGAGAGAGACAGAGAGAGGAGAGAGACAGAGACAGACAGAGAAAGAGAGAGACACAGAGAGAGAAACAGAGAGACAGAGAGAAAGAUACAGAGAGGCAGAGACAGACAGAGAGAGAGAGGAGAGAGAGAGAGAGAGACAGAGAGAGAGAGACAGAGACAGAGAGACAGAAACAGAGAGAGAGGAGAGAAAGAGACAGAGAGAGAGAGACAGAGAGAGAGAGAGAGAGAGAGAGAGAGAGAGAGAGAGAGAGAGAGCUCUUAAUGCAAAGAGGUCAAUUUGAUCUCAUAGAUAUCCCUGACUUGGUAUCUAUGAUUUAGAAUAUGGCUGUGGAUGGACAAACCUUAUUCAAAAAUCAUUAAAAGGGGAAACAGGAGAUAGCAUUAUAUUUUUUAAAAAGAGGUAUAUUUGUGUGAGAAAAACCAAAAACCAGAGAAGAGAAGCAUGAUGGAGAACAUUUGCGUGAAAACCAAUGGAGAAACAUAUUUUAUCACUGAUAAACAUUAUAGUCCACUUGUACAGAGAGAGGAUAUAGAUCAGGGUGGGGAUUUUUUUUUUUAUGCCAAAGGCCAUUUGGAAAUUUAUAACAUCAUUUCUGAGCUUUACAAAAUGAUCAACUUGAGGCAGCUAGGUGGCUCAGAGCACCAGCCCUGAAGUCAGGAGGACCUGAGUUCAAAUCUGGUCUCAGACACUUAAUACUUCCUAGCUGUGUGACCCUGGGCAAGUCCCUUAACCCCAAUUGCCUCAGCUAAAAAAAAAGUAUCAACUUAUAGAACUCAAGCAGUGGGAGGUUGUUGUGCCCAAAUUUCAGCUCAUCGCCUGCAGAUGUCUUAGCAAAUGAUUUCACAGGUUUUUAUAUGGCCCGUAGGCUGGCUAUUCCCUACCUCUGCUAUAGAUGAAGACUUUGGGAAACAGCUCACAAAUAUGACACAGAGGCAUGAUAGUACUAUUGGAAAAUAUAUGAUUCAGACAUCUGCUAAAAUUCUGUCUCUGUCUCUGUCAAAGUAGAACAGCUAAUAAGUUCUGACUUUUCUUAAUUCUAAUUACAUUAAUUACAAAGUUUUUACAAAUAACAAGGGGAAAUUUUAUUCUAGCUCUGAUUUUUCCUCUCAGGGAAGAACCGGUUAAUGGAAUGGAAAUGUUAAGAACCUUGGAGGGAAGAGACUAUUAUUCCAUGCUAGAGUUUAUGAGAGAAUAGAGGAUAAUUGGAUAUAGUAUGACAUGAAUCUUAGAUUUGGGGAAGGCAGAUUUUUAAAAUUCAGAAGAAGGCUAGGGAGGAGCCAACAAAUUAAAAUUCUACAUAGAAAGCGAGUUUGGGAAGGAUGGGAAACUCUUAAGAAUGAAAUGCUGAAGAAACAAAGGGGGAAGGAAUUGUAAUGAGGAAGUAAAAUAGUAAUUGAAGAAUCAGAUGUGGACACAAAGGGAAUCCACUAAUCAAUUUAAAUUUUACUUUACUUAAAUUUAAUCCUUUUCAAAUUAAAAAUUAAAUAUGCACAUCUACACAUACAUGCAUAUAUGUGUAUGUGUGUAUAUCUAUCUAGCUACUAAAGUUGGAAGCAAAAGCAGUUAACGGAGUGAGUAUGAGGACAUGGAUGGUACUAGGAAGUUUUUAUCGGCAGGGCUAAAGCUCUGAACGAGCUGAGGUUUCUGAAGAAAACUCAAGAUGACAGCACCAAAAUUUAAGAUAUAGCAGAGAAAAGAGGAGGAUCAAAAAAUGGAGAGCAAUGAUGCUGAGGGAGGAUGGGAUGACAACCGACAACAGAGGGGAGGAAGUUACUCAAUUCUUGGAGAGUGACCACUGGAACCCCACAAGAAUGGCUUCACAUAUUGAUACCCAAGAAAAGAAAGAGGAUAAUAAAAGAAGAGGAAGAAUUCAGUUCAUCUGAUCCAGAUGAGCUCUAUUCCCCAAACCUUACAGAUGUGAUUGUUGAGCCAUCGUCAGUGAUGUUUGUAAGGUCACGGAGCAUGAGAGAGGGACCACAGAACGGUGACACUAUUAGAGAAAGGCCAAGAUGUUGAUUUUCCCAAAAUGUGGGGAAAAUAGUUUUAAAAUUCUAAGCAUGGAUCCUAGAUCUGGGACUUGGAGCUCCUUAGAAACCAUUCAGUCCGACCCUAUUGUUUUAGAGAUGAGGAAACUGAGGCCAUAAAUAACAGAAGUUAGAUUUGAAUCUGUGACCCCUCAAUUCAGUUCUCUGCAUCUGUAAAACGACUCUGGUCUUGGUUCUUCCCAACACACCACAGUCUCCCAUUAGACUGGAAUUGACAACCAAGGGAACAUCAGAAAGCUCAUAGAGAAUUGAACGGAUUCUGAUUCUGGGUGGGAAGGAGGGACCAUCUGACCUUUGAGGGUCCUUCCAGGAGGACUGAAGGAAGAGGAUGUCAGUAGCACCGAUAAUUAACCCACCAAUCAACCAGUGCCAGUGAUAUGUCAAGCUCUAGGCAUACAAAUGCCCUCAGAGAGUUUACAUUCUAAUGGAAAGACGGAAACAAUGGCUGGAAAAUCCAGGGUUCAAAUCUUGCUUAUGGUACUUUAAGCAAAUCACUUCAUUCUCUGUGCCUCAGUUUCCUCAUCUGUAAAACGAGGGGGUUGCCUUGGAUGACUUCUGAGGAACCUUCCUGCUGUGUCCUGGGGUGGAAUAAGCUCAGCUCCCUGAGGUCAGACUUCUUUUGCCCACCUGGAUGGGUCCCAGACCUCUCCAGAUGUCUUUCCCAGGGAGGUGAGCCUUCUAGCGAACAGGAACUCCUCCUUCCUAAACCGGAUAUGGGCUAAAGGACAAGGGGCCCGGAGUUGUUUUUUUCCCUUUCCUGACAUCCCUCCUUCUCCUUGGGGAUGGUUUCCUCAGCAAUGCAGGCAGCAGCUGUGGCUCGCAGCCCUCCCCAGAGCUUAGGAAUGUUUCCGUCCUCUCCCUCAAUCUUAAUGAGCCAUCAAGAGUGAGCAGCUUCCAGAGGGUCUGGGAGGGAGGGAGAGAGUCUUUCCCAUCAACCUCCUGCCCGUUUCCUGCUCCUUAACCUGGUAUCCAGGAACUUGGUUUUGGUCUCCA
rnacentral:lncRNA from 1 species